rnacentral:tRNA from 1 species
GGAGGUUUAGUAUAAUGGCAGUACAAUGGAUUCCAAACCCAUUGGUAAGGGUUCGAUUCCUUUAACCUCCGCCA